UUCCUACGGGAGGCAGCAGUGGGGAAUUUUGGACAAUGGGGGCAACCCUGAUCCAGCCAUGCCGCGUGAGUGAAGAAGGCCUUCGGGUUGUAAAGCUCUUUCAGCCGGGAAGAAAUCGCAUCUCCUAAUACGGGGUGUGGAUGACGGUACCGGAAUAAGAAGCACCGGCUAACUACGUGCCAGCAGCCGCGGUAAUACGUAGGGUGCGAGCGUUAAUCGGAAUUACUGGGCGUAAAGCGUGCGCAGGCGGUUUCGUAAGACAGAUGUGAAAUCCCCGGGCUCAACCUGGGAACUGCAUUUGUGACUGCGAGGCUAGAGUAUGGCAGAGGGGGGUGGAAUUCCACGUGUAGCAGUGAAAUGCGUAGAGAUGUGGAGGAACACCGAUGGCGAAGGCAGCCCCCUGGGCCAAUACUGACGCUCAUGCACGAAAGCGUGGGGAGCAAACAGGAUUAGAUACCCGGGUAGUCA
rnacentral:rRNA from 1 species